rnacentral:rRNA from 1 species
AUACGUAGGUGGCGAGCGUUGUCCGGAAUUACUGGGCGUAAAGGAUGCGUAGGUGGAUACUUAAGUGGGAUGUGAAAUCCCCGGGCUCAACCCGGGAACUGCAUUCCAAACUGGGUAUCUAGAGUGCAGGAGAGGAAAGCGGAAUUCCUAGUGUAGCGGUGAAAUGCGUAGAUAUUAGGAGGAACACCAGUGGCGAAGGCGGCUUUCUGGACUGUAACUGACACUGAGGCAUGAAAGCGUGGGUAGCAAACAGGAUUAGAUACCCUGGUAGUCCACGCCGUAAACGAUGGGUACUAGGUGUAGGAGGUAUCGACCCCUUCUGUGCCGUCGUUAACACAAUAAGUACCCCGCCUGGGGAGUACGGUCGCAAGACUAAAACUCAAAUGAAUUGACGGGG